rnacentral:lncRNA from 1 species
CUCUUUCUUCUUUGAGUUUUGUUUCGUUUUGUUUUUCUGGUCUGGUAUUUUAUCAUAGCAACAAAAACAAAAAGUAGCUAAUAUGGAGGCUACAGGGAGAAUUACAACAUUUGUUGCUGGGAGAGGCUGGGUAAUCCUGGGCAGGCUGCCUGCAUCCUUUGGCCUGAAUGACAAUUGGGCGAGUAAAAAAGAUGAGGGUCACCCUAAGGCAAGGGUGAGGCUGUGCUGUCUUUUAGGACUGCUACCUCAAGGUCUUAGUUGCUCAAUACCCAAAUCACAUGGCUGACAGGCUAUCUUGUCACCUCCCUGUCAGGGCUGGGCCACCUCUGCCUCUCCUACCUGACUUCUGCCACCCCUGUGUGAGAUGCUAUCUUCCCCAACGCCCUUCUUCUCCCAGGCCUCAGGGGUAGGGCCUCAUGGGCUCAGGUGGACCUCAAGCCCAAGCAGAUGAUGGCAGCCAUAUGGGACCCAGAUAUUCUGCAUCCUUCUAAGCUGUCCAAACCCUGCACAAUGGCAUGGGAAACUUUAUACAGCAGAUUCUAGAGCCAGCCACCCUCUGUCUCCCUUCCCCCUCAUCUCCAGUCCUGUGAGAGAAGCUUCUGAAGAAAGAUUAUAAUGCCAGCAAGGUCAUAUUCAGGAAGACUGAACCAUCCCCAAAGCAGUGAGGGGGCCUCAGGAUAGGAAGAUGGCAGGUCUUGGAGAUAUGUAAAUAGAAAGAAGCAAGAGUGUCUGAGGAAAAGUUCCCGUGCACUAUGAGGUACAUUGGGUGGAAGCUUCCACAGAUUCCUGAAGACCUACCUGCUGUUCUCCCCCCAAACCCCAAGCAAGGUUCAUCACUGUCACAUUUGCUAUGGCUCUUAAAAAUCCAGAUGAGGGGGUCUCUGACCAUGGUCCACAGUGUAUGCUCAACCCUCAGGACAACCAGUGAUAAAUAGUGGCUGAACCCACCCCACUCCAUUUAGUGGGAUCUAAUUGCUGGUUUGCAGAAAACAGCCCCUCACAUAUGUCUGCCCCUGUGGGGUUCAUGCUUGCAUGAGGCCAAGCACAAACAUCCUCUGCCACACAGUAUGCUGAGCCUGCUGUCUAUUCUCUGUGUGUCUGCCUCACCGCCCCCUCCCCAAACAUGCAUCAUUGUCACACACACUAUGCAUGUCCCUUUCCCAGCUGAGGAGAUGGCAGCACCUUUCCUACCAGGAAGACAUCCCGGGAUGGGACUCUGUACCUCUCAAGUGGUCGGUCCUUCUCUAUGCCAGAUGUUGAAGAUCUAGUAGUCCCUCUCAUUUCACAUCUUGUGAGCAUCCUAACCCUUACCUGCAGCUAAGAGGACACACCAAGGUUUGCCAGGAAUGUUGACUAAGCUAGGAGCCUCCUCUGAGUCUAGAGAAACAGUUGGUAUCUGAUAUGGUGAGACUGAAGUACCCAGAGAGUGGUCUGGGCAAAUCAUGGCACCCCCAGAAGCUGUUAAAGGACAUCCCACGGGGAGAGAAGGGCCCUGGGGGAAGGGCUCCAAAUACUUCCACUCCUCCACUCAGAGACAGUCACUGCUCCAGCCACUCUCCUUUCCAGAAAGCUAAGAGACACAUUCUUGCAUACAGGAUGGCUCGAAGGGGGAAGGCAGCAAGAGAAGGCCCAAGAAGCGGGGAUACCUGGAAAGAUCAUGCACCUUGCUUCUAGAUGGCCCAAAGAGGUCAGCUCCUCUAGGAAAUCAGCCUGGCCUCUGCAAACUAGUUUGGGCACCUUUCUGUUUCUACUCUACCACCCACCCCCACCUUCAAUCGCGUAAUAGACCAACUGCCUGCUGCUAUCCUGGAUCUGUGUCCCUAGUCCAGGGCUACUCAGGCCCAAGGUUCUAACAGCGGUGGUGUUCAGAGGGCUCCACACGCUGAGAGGUGGAGAGGCAGGUCUGCCUGCCGGAACCUGGAAGUGGUUUGGGAACAAGGCGCGGCCCCAUCCCCCAUCAGAGCCACCGCAGCCCUGCAUCCCUCCCCGGGCUAGAGCACCGGCCCGUAAAAGCGACUUCAAAGGGCCAGUGCCUGGUGCCUGAGUUUCCACAGCCGGCUCAGCUUCGCAGCCAGGCGGGACCCAGACAUCGGAGCGGACUCUAUUCUGGGGGGCUUCAAUAAGCGGGUGGGGUGGGGGGUGCGGGGUGCAGCCUGAGAAAGUGAGGGGCGGGUCCUCAGAGCCCCCAAAGUGGGAGGGUCGGGAGUCCGCG